rnacentral:tRNA from 1 species
AUCGAAUCGAUCUGAAGAUCCUUCGUACGCUGCAGGAUAACGCCCGAAUCUCCUAUGUCGAUCUG